GCAGCCCCAAUCUUGAUUUCCUUUUUGUCGUCCUCAGUACCCAAAUUAAUAAUUUCCAACUCCUCCUGAUGAGGUUGGAUGACCCUUUCCUCCUGCUUCAGUAAUCUGGCCAAUUCUGCAGGGAGUUCACAGCCUUCCUCACUCUCCUCUUCAGCUUGGUAGAUGGGAUUAUCGAAAUCAUACUGAGCCAUAACAGAACUGUUCAUAGUGAAUGCCAUAAGGUCGCUUCUGCAUGUUUGAUGCUUUGUUUUAGAAAAAGAGUU
rnacentral:lncRNA from 1 species